GGAAGGAUCAUUCUUGAUAAUGCUAGCAUAUGCUAUCAUCAAAUAUGUGAACGGUAACUGCCUUCUUGGCGGCCGAAAGGUCGUCAUUUGGACUACUUUAAAUUUACUAAUAACUUAUUAUACCAGUAACGUAAAAUUACUUUGACAACUUUUAGCAAUGGAUCUCUAGGCUCUCGCAUCGAUGAAGAACGCAGCAAACUGCGAAAAGUAGUGUGAAUUGCAGACCGUGAAUCAUCGAAUCUUUGAACGCACAUUGCACUGUCUGGAAUCCCGGGCAGUAUAUCUGUUUGAGUAUCGUUUCAAUCUCAUACCCCAACAAGUGUGAAAACGCUUGGAGGGGCGUGGAAAUGGGGCAUUGUGAACUCUUUUACAUGCCUUUAAAUGUAGUUCUACGGUCCAAUUAGAGCAGUCCGAAAGGAACCUCUUAUCAGAAUCGUAUCGUAAAAGAAUAGGCUUCGAGCCUUGAAUUACUAUCUCAAAUCAGAUAAGAUUACCCGCUGAACUUAAGCAUAUUAAUAAGCGGAGGAAAAGAAACUAACUAGGAUUCCUUUAGUAACGGCGAGUGAACAAGGAACAGCUCAAAUUUGUAAUCUCUUCGGAGAGUUGUAAUUUGAAGAAGUAUUUUCGUUGGCAUUCUGGGCUAAAGUCCUUUGGGACGAGGCAUCAUAGAGGGUGAGAAUCCCGUACAUGGACCAGUAAUGUCACGUUUGUCUAUACUUCAAAGAGUCGGGUUGUUUGGGACUGCAGCCCUAAGUUGGUGGUAUAUUCCAUCUAAAGCUAAAUACAGGCGAGAGACCGAUAGCGAACAAGUACUGUGAAGGAAAGAUGAAAAGAACUUUGAAAAGAGAGUUAAAUAGUACGUGAAAUUGCUAAAAGGGAAACGCUUAAAACUAGUGUGGAUGCAUCAAGUUCAACUGCGCGAUCCGCGUGGUGUACGCUUGGCGCAUCUGGUCAAAGCCUGUUUUCGGGAAGCCAAAUUCAGUAAGGAAGGUAGCUCUCUGAGUGUUAUAGCCUUGCUGGGUAUUUUCCUGGGGACAUCCAUUGACGAAAUAGUUUUAAACGACCCGUCUUGAAACACGGACCAAGGAGUCUAACAAUUAUGCGAGUAUUUGAGUGUCAAACUCGAAUGCGUAAUGAAAGUGAACGUAGGUGGGAUAUUUGCACCAUCGACCGAUCUGGAUUUUUUAUGAUAGAUUUGAGUAGGAGCAUAACUGUUGGGACCCGAAAGAUGGUGAACUAUGCCUGAAUAGGGCGAAGCCAGAGGAAACUCUGGUGGAGGCUCGUAGCGGUUCUGACGUGCAAAUCGAUCGUCAAAUUUGGGUAUAGGGGCGAAAGACUAAUCGAACCAUCUAGUAGCUGGUUUCCUC
rnacentral:misc_RNA from 1 species